CGAGCCAGUUAGGCAGCCGCUCUAUCAUCUCGAUGAUACGGGAGGAAAGUCCGGGCUCCACAGGGUGGAGUGCCAGGUAAUGCCUGGACAGGCGCAAGCCUUUGGAAAGUGCCACAGAAAACAAACCGCCGCGCAAGCGGUAAGGGUGAAAAGGUGCGGUAAGAGCGCACCGCGUCGCUGGUAACAGCGACGGCACGGUAAACCCCACUUGGAGCAAGACCAAACAGAACUCGAUAGUGUGACCCGCACUGAGUUCGGGUAGGUCGCUUGAGGUGUUUGGUGACAAACAUCCCAGACAAAUGGUUGCCCACGACAGAACCCGGCUUAUCGACUGGCUCCCCUU
rnacentral:RNase_P_RNA from 1 species